AUCCAGCUGACGACUCCCAAUGAGGACGAAAUGCGCGUCCUGGAU
rnacentral:hammerhead_ribozyme from 1 species